UAUUUCUCCUGUAGCUCUUCAGGCAAGCUGAAUUGAACUCAUGUUGCUUUUUCCCUUUUUGUUUCAGCUCAGUUUGCAGGGGAAGACCCAGUGGUAGCUUUGGAAGCUGCUUUGCAGUUUGAAGACACCCGGGAAUCCAUGCACGCAUUUUGUGUUGGCCAGUAUUUGGAGCCUGACCAAGAAAUCGUCACCAUACCAGAUCUGGGGAGUCUCUCUUCACCUCUGAUAGACACAGAGAGGAAUCUGGGCCUGCUUCUCGGAUUACACGCUUCCUAUUUGGCAAUGAGCACACCGCUGUCUCCUGUCGAGAUUGAAUGUGCCAAAUGGCUUCAGUCAUCCAUCUUCUCUGGAGGCCUGCAGACCAGCCAGAUCCACUACAGCUACAACGAGGAGAAAGACGAGGACCACUGCAGCUCCCCAGGGGGCACACCUGCCAGCAAAUCUCGACUCUGCUCCCACAGACGGGCCCUGGGGGACCAUUCCCAGGCAUUUCUGCAAGCCAUUGCAGACAACAACAUUCAGGAUCACAACGUGAAGGACUUUUUGUGUCAAAUAGAAAGGUACUGUAGGCAGUGCCAUUUGACCACACCGAUCAUGUUUCCCCCCGAGCAUCCCGUGGAAGAGGUCGGUCGCUUGCUGUUAUGUUGCCUCUUAAAACAUGAAGAUUUAGGUCAUGUGGCAUUAUCUUUAGUUCAUGCAGGUGCACUUGGUAUUGAGCAAGUAAAGCACAGAACGUUGCCUAAGUCAGUGGUGGAUGUUUGUAGAGUUGUCUACCAAGCAAAAUGUUCGCUCAUUAAGACUCAUCAAGAACAGGACCGUUCUUACAAGGAGGUCUGCGCUCCUGUCAUCGAACGUUUGAGAUUCCUCUUUAAUGAAUUGAGACCUGCUGUUUGUAAUGACCUCUCUAUAAUGUCUAAGUUUAAAUUGUUAAGUUCUUUGCCCCAUUGGAGGAGGAUAGCUCAGAAGAUAAUUCGAGAACCAAGGAAAAAGAGAGUUCCUAAGAAGCCAGAAUCUACGGAUGAUGAAGAAAAAAUUGGAAACGAAGAGAGUGAUUUAGAAGAAGCUUGCAUUUUGCCUCAUAGUCCAAUAAAUGUGGACAAGAGACCCAUUGCAAUUAAAUCACCCAAGGACAAAUGGCAGCCGCUGUUGAGUACUGUUACAGGUGUUCACAAAUACAAGUGGUUGAAGCAGAAUGUGCAGGGUCUUUAUCCGCAGUCUCCACUCCUCAGUACAAUUGCUGAAUUUGCCCUUAAAGAAGAGCCAGUGGAUGUGGAAAAGAGAAAGUGCCUACUAAAACAGUUGGAGAGAGCAGAGGUUCGCCUGGAAGGGAUAGAUACAAUUUUAAAAUUGUAUCUGGGAACCUCUUACUGAUUGUUUAAAGGAUGUUGAUUUGAUCCCGCCUUUUAAUCGGAUGCUGCUGGAAGUCACCUUUGGCAAGCUGUACGCUUGGGCUGUUCAGAACAUUCGAAAUGUUUUGGUGGAUGCCAGUGCCAAAUUUAAAGAGCUUGGUAUCCAGCCGGUUCCCCUGCAAACCAUCACCAAUGAGAACCCAUCGGG
ensembl:lncRNA novel transcript